CUGAAGCAAGGAACAGGAACUACUUACUACUCAUAAGGUAGCCUUAUGUAACCCCUAUUCAAGUAGACUGUUGCUGUACUGUCACGUUUUUGUCUGUUACCAUACCAGAGCAAACAGCGGUAUAGUGGUAUGUGGCCACCUGGAGCUAAAGGUAUUUUAUGGACAUGUACUUAAGAGAGGGGCUUUUGCCUUUCUUUUCUUUAAUUCAGAGUUCAAGAGUGACAUUAAGAGGUUAAAUGGGUAAAUGGGAUAGUUUAAUAGAUUUGACAGCUAUAUUACAUGUAUAUAUAAUUCUUCAGUGAGGUUUACUUAUUUGAAAGUAAAGAAAUCUGGGCUGUUAUAUUACAAAGGUUUUCCUCUCUUCUUUCCUCUAUUCGUCCCACUCUCCUCCCUAUAUUCCUCCCACCCUUUAUACGUUCUAGUACUUUUGGCAUGUCUGAUGUCUCACAGCUCUCAUUUGUAUGCUCCCUCCACUCUACUAGAUUAAUAGAACAUAGCAUCGAUCACAAAAACACUUGGGAUGGACUUCGAGUCUUCGUCACUAUUCUACUAGAUACCUAUUGCAAAUUCUUCUUGCAAUGGUUCUUUGAACUUUAUGAAACAGCAGGACACUCUGUACUGGCCUAUUAUUUCUACCACAAAGGCGACAGAGCUUCUCCGACAAUCAUUCAUGUGUCAUUUUGAGUGCUAUAUACAUAUAUUUUGUUAGCAAAAAAGUGGCAUGCUAAAUUAUAUUUUGUUACAAUGUACUACCUUUGAUCUUUA